GACGAACGCUGGCGGCGUGCCUAAUACAUGCGAGUAGAACGCUGAAGGAGGAGCUUGCUUCUCUGGAUGAGUUGCGAACGGGUGAGUAACGCGUAGGUAACCUGCCCGGUAGCGGGGGAUAACUAUUGGAAACGAUAGCUAAUACCGCAUAAUAGCAGUUGUUGCAUGACAACUGUUUGAAAGGUACAAUUGUACCACUACCAGUUGAUCCUGCGUUGCUUUAGCUAGUUGGUGGGGUAACGGCUCACCAAGGCGACGAUACAUAGCCGACCUGAGAGGGGGGUCGGCCACCCUGGGACUGGGACACGGCCCAGACCUCUACGGGAGGGAGCAGUAGGGAAUCUUCGGCAAUGGGCGGAAGUCUGGCCGAGCAACGCCGCGUGAGUGAAGAAGGUUUUCGGGUCGGAAAGCUCUGUUGUAAGGGAAGAACGAGUGUGGGAGUGGAAAGUGCACACUGUGACGGUAUCUUACCAGAAAGGGACGGCUAACUACGUG
rnacentral:rRNA from 1 species